AGAUUGAACGCUGGCGGCAUGCCUUACACAUGCAAGUCGAACGGCAGCGCGGGAGCAAUCCUGGCGGCGAGUGGCGAACGGGUGAGUAAUAUAUCGGAACGUGCCUAGUAGUGGGGGAUAGCCCGGCGAAAGCCGGAUUAAUACCGCAUACGACCUGAGGGUGAAAGCGGGGGAUCGCAAGACCUCGCGCUACUGGAGCGGCCGAUAUCAGAUUAGCUAGUGGUGGGUAAGCCUACCAGGCAACGAUCUGUAGUUGGUCUGAGAGGACGACCAGCCACACUGGGACUGAGACACGGCCCAGACUCCUACGGGAGCAGCAGUGGGGAAUUUGGACAAUGGGCGCAAGCCUGAUCCAGCAAUGCCGCGUGCAGGAAGAGGCCUUCGGUUGUAAACUGUCUUUUGUCAGGGAAGAAACGUUCUUCGUGGUACCUAAAGUACGUACCCGGGAGGAUUCGAACGGUACC
rnacentral:rRNA from 1 species